rnacentral:rRNA from 1 species
ACGCUAGCGGCGGCUUAAUACAUGCAAGUCGAGGGGCAGCAGGUCUGUAGCAAUACAGAUGCUGGCGACCGGCAAACGGGUGCGGAACACGUACAGAACCUUCCUUCGAGCGGGGAAUAGCCCAGAGAAAUUUGGAUUAAUACCCCAUAGUAUACUGAAGAGGCAUCUCUUUGGUAUUAAAGAUUUAUCACUUGAAGAUGGCUGUGCGGCUGAUUAGGUAGUUGGCGGGGUAAAGGCCCACCAAGCCUGCGAUCAGUAACUGGUGUGAGAGCACGACCAGUCACACGGGCACUGAGACACGGGCCCGACUCCUACGGGAGGCAGCAGUAAGGAAUAUUGGUCAAUGGACGAAAGUCUGAACCAGCCAUGCCGCGUGAAGGAUGAAGGUCCUCUGGAUUGUAAACUUCUUUUAUAUGGGACGAAAAAAGGGUUUUCUAACUCAACUGACGGUACCAUAUGAAUAAGCACCGGCUAACUCCGUGCCAGCAGCCGCGGUAAUACGGAGGGUGCAAGCGUUAUCCGGAUUCACUGGGUUUAAAGGGUGCGUAGGUGGGUUGGUAAGUCAGUGGUGAAAUCCCCGAGCUUAACUCGGGAACUGCCAUUGAUACUAUCAGUCUUGAAUACCGUGGAGGUCAGCAGAAUAUGUCAUGUAGCGGUGAAAUGCUUAGAUAUGACAUAGAAUACCAAUUGCGAAGGCAGCUGGCUACCCGAAUAUUGACACUGAGGCACGAAAGCGUGGGGAUCAAACAGGAUUAGAUACCUGGUAGUCCACGCCCUAAACUAUGGAUACUCGACAUACGCGAUACACU